rnacentral:lncRNA from 1 species
GAAUCUUAUGAUAGGACUUUCCAGUAGUCUCCGAAUCCACCAUGUAGGUCUAACAUUCAAAUUUAGGAAGAGAUGAUUUCCCUCAACACUAACAGAAGGAAACGUAAAAAAAAGGACAAUGGAUGUUCCGCAAGGCCGCGGCAUUGAUCGAAGACGAAGUUUUGUAGACAUACAUGGAACCUAGACCGUCAAUAGACGAAAUGAGAAGGAUAGAGACACGAGGAGUGAAGGAUAAGGACAGGAAGCGGAUAAAGGAGAGACAUGAUGGGAAAGAAGGAUAGACAUGACGGACGAUGACUGAUAUACUCACGAAGAGAGGGAAAGAAAGGGAUGUGAACAGAAAGAUGAGGACAAAAGGAGAAAGGCUGGCAAGGAUGGGGAGGAGGCAGAUGUGUUAAAGGCAACUUAAAGUGCGAUCUCACUGAACCGUCAGAGCACCUUACCAAAUAAAAAGACAAUGGGCUUACCAAAGCCAAAAAUUGACGCCGGUUGAGAAUGGACAUCUGUAAUGCCGCCCUGAGAUUUGGACCUUAUUGGAUUUCACUGUAGAUGACCUUCACCAAAUGGUACUUUUCUGUAACACCGGGCACCUGUUUCACUGAUGGCAUCACCAUGACGUCACGUCACUUCGAGCGUCAGGUUACUGAAAUGAAAAGAUCAUGAGCGAAGAAUGCACAAGUUAUUCCAAUUGCUGACGACACGUUUUGUAGAAUUAAAAGUAUCGUCCUCAGAGUUGUUGUCACAGAUUAUAAUAAAAAAAAACUUGGCUGCUUUGAAGAUGUAAACCAAGCAUACUCAUGUCAAACGGAUUCCAGAAAGAGUGAUGCCAUUUUGUUGAAAUGUUCUGGCGUACAACACCAGCGUAAUAUGGGCGACCAUUUCUAGACCAGCGCUCGGCACCAACACUUCCUUGCUGGAACGGUUUGUCUAAAUUCCUGUACCUCCUUCAUCCACAGCUCCUGUGUUUGUUCCGUGACCAUCUUUUGUUUAGGUUCCGUAUCUAUUUACUUUUACUAGACUCAUUACAUUACACCCAGAAAUAUAGUUAAUUCAUCCGGGAACUAUUUUUGUGUGUGUAAAAACAGUAAGUUUUACCAAACUUUUAUUUUAAAAGGAGGCAAGUUGACAAGCAUUUUAUAUAGGUAAACAAGUAAAACACUUAUCUUUGAAUGAUGGUAAGAAAAAGACUAGAUACGAUUCGGUUCCCACCAUUUCCCGUUCUGUCUCUGUAUGCAGCCACUUAGACAUGCAGAUAUAGGUAAAACAGUGUACCUGUCGCUGGUCUCUGUAAUCAAUCUUCUUGACGUUCAGUCUCAUUAAUAAAUCAAACGGUCGCACGUCUCACUUGGACACGUGAAUAGUAUAUGUUAUCAAGUUUCCAUCAAGCGUCAAUUAAAAUGGUCUUCUCCCGUCACUGUUUUCGUUUCUGUUGGUUGACGCAUGUUUUCUUUUCUGAUAUGGAAAUGUAAUUUUAUUAAGUAAUUAAGUUUGUUUUUGACUAUAAGUAGUGCAAACUAAAUGCAACCUGUCACUAAUUCACUGUCCCAUCCGAACACUCGAAACUCUAUGGUAUAACAAUCUGAUUAAAAUCAUGUUACAUGGCUUCGUUAACUUCGUACUACACCUGAUUUGCGGAGCCAUGUAACAGAUGAUUUUAAUCAGACUGAUGGUAUAAUGUUGUAGUCUAAAUCUCGUCGUAAAGGCAUGCACAGGGACAUGUCACAUACUAUAUAACUGGAGCUGUAUGUGUGUAAAUGGACGUCACAGUUUACCACUGUAUAUAUACCGUGACACCCUCCAAUACGUACUUCAUUAUGUGACGUCCCUGUGGCUAAGACACCACACCGUUAAAAUAGAUUUUUGAUCUCGUUAAAAAUUGAUGUAUGUCUCUUUUUUCGAUUUCGCCCACGAUACAUUUACCCCCGUCCCACCCCCAAACUACAAGUGAUUGAUGGGAGAAGCUAUGCCGGUACAUCAAUAUCACUAGGUCACUGAAUUGUCACAGAUUUGUUGACUUCCGUGUUGUAUUAUGUCUUUUGUCAAACUAUCCUGUGUGUUUCCACGUUUUUCAUCUUUUGAGAAAGAAAACUCCUCCAUGCUAUUAUUGAUAAUUGCAGAAUGCCGAGUAUGCCUUAUGGACCCUUUUUUGUUUAUUUAUCACACCUUUGCGAUAUGUAUUGAGGUCACAUGAUCACUGCUGUGUAACAUAAACCUAUAAAUAGCACCACACUUAAAAAUUUGAAAACAAAACACUGCUGGUUCUGAAAAAUCACGAAACCAUUCAAUGACAUUUUAAAUAUUUUUUAUUUGUUAUUUAUGGCAAUGUUUACAACUAGCAGCCCUUCUCCUUCACACAAGGACUUUGUACAGCAGACGGACGAAGGACAGACAGUUUGGCGGACAUGUUCUCGGCCAGACCGACAGUAAUAAUAAUGCUGACAUUUACUGGGAAAUCUCGCAUAAACGUGAGAAGCAUAAUAAAACUCAUAGUUUUGUUUUAUGUAGUUUUCCAUGUACUCAUAUAACAUCCAGCUGGUAGACUGGAUUUUAACCCUUUCAACACUGUAGACCAUAAUGGACUCAUCCAUAUCAAUUGAUGGUAGAGGUUAUUAAAGUUACAUAGGGGUGAAAGGGUUAACACAAUAAGUUCUCUGUACACCAUGCCUAUAUACAUUUAUGGUACCUAAAAAAGCAUAUUUUUGUGCAUAAAUUACAGUGAAAAACUUAAAUACAAAUGUUUAUUUCUUCCAAUAUAAACCGAUCAUUUUCAAAUAAUUAUAUGAACGUCUCUGAAACACCAUGGGUUUCUAAAAUCUUCUUUAAAACAACUCGACUGUGAAAGUUUUCUUUUAGGAACAUUUAGUAUGUUUUCUUUGCCUUCGCUUUGAUCAGAAAACGUAUUUAGUGUUAGAGUAAAAUACAAAAUGCAUUUGAAAUAGUAUCUCGUACAAGGUGUUCCGAGUAAAAUACAAAAUGCUGAUGAAAUAGCACCCGGAAUACAAGACAGCAAUUUUAAGUAGCAGCAUCUUACAAGUGUCCAGACAGUGGAAUGCUUCUUAGUAUAAACAUUGUUACAAGUACAAUCAGUAUCAUGUUAUACAGCUUUUGUUAAGUAUUUACAUGAUAUAAGUUUCCAUGGCCGUUAUAUGUAUCCUAACAGAAAAUAGGCUUAAACUAUUUAAACGAAUCAAUAAUAUUCAUUUCUAUACACCUCUAGGCCUAAUGAGUCGGCACAGCAAUGAAUGAGAUCAAAAUAUGAAGUUUUUAAGUAUGAAAUGUUUCUUUGUUCGUACUGGCAAGAUACAACAAUGAACACAGUUAUAAGGUGAAUUAGUUAUAAUAGUUUUUGUAACAUUUCUACAUUUUUUUGUAAAUUUUUCAAUUUCAAUAUUUACAGACAAAAUUUGGUUAUCUUUGCGUGGUUCUACCGUAAAAACUAUAUAUAAGGAUUGACCUAGAUACACAGGUUAAAUAGAUGUAAAUUAUGGUCCAGCUACGGUCAGAAGUCUUCUUCGGAUUCCCGUAUAAUCACAAUAUGAUAAAGUAAAUCACAAAAUAUACAUCACUAAUUUGUUUAUUCUUCAGACACCUGACAAAGAAAUUCCGAAGACCAAUCUAAUAAACUAAAAAUAACUAUACACAAAUGGAAGACGUGUGUAAUUUUGUGUUAAAUUCAACAAGAAAAAAA